rnacentral:rRNA from 1 species
UAGGGAAUCUUCGGCAAUGGGGGGAACCCUGACCGAGCAACGCCGCGUGAGUGAAGAAGGUUUUCGGUUCGUAAAACUCUGUUGUUAGAGAAGAACAGCGCAUAGAGUAACUGUUAUGCGUGUGACGGUAUCUAACCAGAAAGCCACGGCUAACUACGUGCCAGCAGCCGCGGUAAUACGUAGGUGGCAAGCGUUGUCCGGAUUUAUUGGGCGUAAAGCGAGCGCAGGCGGUCAAUUAAGUCUGAUGUGAAAGCCCCCGGCUCAACCGGGGAGGGUCAUUGGAAACUGGUUGACUUGAGUGCAGAAGAGGAGAGUGGAAUUCCAUGUGUAGCGGUGAAAUGCGUAGAUAUAUGGAGGAACACCAGUGGCGAAGGCGACUCUCUGGUCUGUAACUGACGCUGAGGCUCGAAAGCGUGGGUAGCAAACAGG